rnacentral:rRNA from 1 species
GACGAACGCUGGCGGCGUGCUUAACACAUGCAAGUCGAGCGGAAAGGCCCUGCUUGCAGGGUACUCGAGUGGCGAACGGGUGAGUAACACGUGGGUGAUCUGCCCUGCACUUCGGGAUAAGCUUGGGAAACUGGGUCUAAUACCGGAUAGGACCGCACUUUAGUGUGUGUGGUGGAAAGUUUUUUCGGUGUAGGAUGAGCUCGCGGCCUAUCAGCUUGUUGGUGGGGUAAUGGCCUACCAAGGCGGCGACGGGUAGCCGGCCUGAGAGGGUGUACGGCCACAUUGGGACUGAGAUACGGCCCAGACUCCUACGGGAGGCAGCAGUGGGGAAUAUUGCACAAUGGGCGCAAGCCUGAUGCAGCGACGCCGCGUGGGGGAUGAAGGCCUUCGGGUUGUAAACUCCUUUCGCUAGGGACGAAGCUUUUUGUGACGGUACCUAGAUAAGAAGCACCGGCUAACUACGUG